rnacentral:misc_RNA from 1 species
UCACACACACACCGGGACCCCCACUCUCUCACGACACACACACACACACGUACUGGGAGACGGACGAAAACGGGGCUCAGUUGCCCGCUGUCCUCUGCCAGGGAUUGGUCUCCAAGCGUCCAGUGACACUUCGUCCUCACUAUCUCCGGAAAGAUAAGGAGCAUCACGGGAGGAUCGGCGGAGUUCCUCGCCUUACACCACCUUUACGGUGCCACACCCUCCACGGUGCCACACCCUCCACGUGCCACACCCUCCAGGUGCCACACCCUUCACGUGCCACACCCUCCACGUGCCACACCCUCCACGUGCCACACCCUCCACCAUGGAGGCUUGGCUCCGUUCCCUCGUCGUCUGCACAUCUCUCGCCCUCAUGACAGGUGGCGCUGGGGGCAUCCAGGUGGUGGAGGAGCCGGGCCUGCAGGUGGUCGAGAACGGCACCGUCGACCACGUCGUCCUCGACUGUCCCUUCGUCCUCGAGGCUGAGGACAACAUUGGACUGGUCAUCAAGUGGUUCCACCUCAACAACCCUAUAGCGGUCUACCAGUGGAUCUCCGGCCGCCAUGCUCCCCAGGCCACGGGGAUCCUGGAGGGUCGUCUGGACCUGCAGUUCGAGGUGUCAGAGGACGCCCUCCAGCGCCACCGAGCCCUCAAGAUCCUGCGCCCCACCACGGAGCUGGCCGGCCUCUACACCUGCAGCAUCUCCUCCUUCGCCGACGAGAAGUUAUACACCCAGCGGCUCCUUGUAUACAGCGAGCCCCAGGACGUGAAGGUGUGGACGGAGGAGCAGGACGACGACCACGUCACUGUCCUGUGUCAGGUGGACCACGUCUUCCCCCAGCCCCUCCUGCGUCUCCGUCAGCGGUCUGCAGGCAAUGACAGCGUGGCGCUGAGCGCGGUGAAGGAGGUCAACUCGUGGUCGCGAGGCAGUUACAACCUGACGGUGGAGGCGACGGUCAGGGACGAUGACCUGGACGGUCCUACAGUGUUCGAGUGUCUGGUCACCAUCCCCGACACUGAGGUCCAGGUCCUCUCCGACACCGAGUACCAUCCUAGAGUCCGACCAGUUGCGGGAGAAGUGAAAACGGGCGGUGGAGGGGGUAACUCUGCUGUCUCCGUGAUGGCUGGCCUCGCCUUGCUUCUCCUCUGGCGGGUGUAGGGUUACCUCUGAAGGAGCCAGAGUGAGCCUCCAGGUCGUCUUCCCAGGUGACCUACCUGCCACCACCUGCUGCUGAAGAUACCUGCACCGCCACCUUGUGUGUGUGUGUGUGUGGUCUUCCUUGGAGCCCGCGGGAGACCACAGUGUGCCUUGAGUCCAUCGUCGUGCCUGCAGCCAUCUUCAGGAGGUGCCAGGUGGCGUCUGCAGCCAUCUUCAGGAGGUGCCAGGUGGCGCCUGCAGCCAUCUUCAGGAGGUGCCAGGUGGCGCCUGCAGCCAUCUUCAGGAGGUGCCAGGUGGCGCCUGCAGCCAUCUUCAGGAGGUGCCAGGUGGCGCCUGCGGCCAUCUUCAGGAGGUGCCAGGUGGCGCCUGCAGCCAUCUUCAGGAGGUGCCAGGUGGCGCCUGUGGCCAUCUUCAGGAGGUGCCAGGUGGCGCCUGCAGCCAUCUUCAGGAGGUGCCAGGUGGCGCCUGCGGCCAUCUUCAGGAGGUGCCAGGUGGCGCCUGCAGCCAUCUUCAGGAGGUGCCAGGUGGCGCCUGCGGCCAUCUUCAGGAGGUGCCAGGUGGCGCCUGCAGCCAUCUUCAGGAGGUGCCAGGUGGCGCCUGCGGCCAUCUUCAGGAGGUGCCAGGUGGCGCCUGCGGCCAUCUUCAGGAGGUGCCAGGUGGCGCCUGCGGCCAUCUUCAGGAGGUGCCAGGUGGCGCCUGCGGUCAUCUUCAGGAGGUGCCAGGUGGCGCCUGCGGCCAUCUUCAGGAGGUGCCAGGUGGCGCCUGCGGCCAUCUUCAGGAGGUGCCAGGUGGCGCCUGCAGCCAUCUUCAGGUGAAUGCCAGGCGGCGCCAGCAGGUGGACCAGGCUGUUGCUGGAGCGGGAAGCACAUCAACCUUGUCCCCUUCAGCGUGACCUGGGCAUGUGUGGCUUCUGAAGAAGUGCCUUUCCUUCACACUAUUUAACAAGUGCUUUUUGAUCAUUGUGAGUGAUUCGGUGUUUUCACAUAAAUUGUUAUAAUGCCAAAGAUUUAAUACUAGUUUAUAUUUUUGCCUGGUGGUGGCUGUAGACACGUCACGAGUUGUCUAGUCGAGGAUCCUAUUCUAACUGUGCCAUUUAUACUUCCAUAUUGUUAGUCCUGUAUGACGUUAUUUCAAGAUUUCAAUUGUGGCGAAGCUGUAGAAGGCUGUCGACGGGGCCCACCUCGCACACCCUUUGGACAAGUGUCCUGCCCAAGGAGAAACGUGUCCUGCCCAAGGAGAAACGUGUCCUGCCCAAGGAGAAACGUGUCCUGCCCAAGGACACACGUGUCCUGGCCAAGGACACGCACAUCGUGUGUGUCGUGUUCUGAGACAGUGUCCCAGGAAGACGUCUUCCAGGGCCUAGUUGCAAGAUUGUGUCCCCGGGCCGUCAUAGGUCUAUGCACAUACUGUAUAUGCGGCCCUAUGCCUUACUAUAUUUUCAUUGCGACACUUGAAAUAAUUCAGUAUAUAAUAUUUAUAAUCCUAAUGUAUAAUCGAACAAAAUAUAUUUUUGCUUCUGUAUAUAGGAAACAAAUUUGGAUUAUGAGAACUUUUCCAGGCUAGGAAGUUCCUUCGAUCCCCCUGUAGCCUACUACUACUACCUGUGUUAAAGAACACACUACUGUCAGCUGUGCUAAGGAGACCUUCUGUCAGCCAUGCUAAGUAGGUCUGUUGCCAACCAUGAUAAUAAGUUAAGAAGGCCUAAAAAGAAUGUUAAUCAGAUCUACAGCGAGCUGUAUUCAGUAAGCCUGCUGCCAGCUAUGCUAAUUUGGCCUACAGCUAUAUUAAAUAGGCCUACUGUCAGCUAUGUUAAAUAAACCUUGUGCCGGUUUUGUAAGCCUACUGCCAGCUAUGCUGAGAUUAGUAAGAUACAAUGUAUCAUGUACGCACGUGUCCCCCCCCCCCCAUGCAAUGUUUUGUUGAGUUUAUAAUAAAAAUAACAAGAAACUGG